rnacentral:rRNA from 1 species
GUAUUUCAGGGAAAAGUUUUUUUAAAUUUAAUAAUUAAAGUUAUUUUAAUUUGUGAAGAAACAAUUAUAUAAAUUAAGGACAAGAAGACCCUAAGAAUUUAAGAAUUCUUAUGUUACUUAAAUAUAAAAUAGGAAUUCUUAGUUGGGGCAACUAAAAAACAUUAUAAACUUUUUUUUCUUUAAAAUGACCCAUUAUUAAUGA